rnacentral:rRNA from 1 species
CCUACGAGCGGCAGCAGUGAGGAAUAUUGGUCAAUGGGCGGGAGCCUGAACCAGCCAAGUCGCGUGAGGGAAGACGGUCCUAUGGAUUGUAAACCUCUGUAGGCGGGGAGCAAUGCCGGGCACGCGUGCCCGGAGGGAGAGUACCCGCAGAAGAAGCAGCGGCUAACUCCGUGCCAGCAGCCGCGGUAAUACGGUGGAUGCGAGCGUUAGCCGGAUUGAUUGGGUUGAAAGGGUGCGUAGGCGGAUUUUUAAGUCAGCGGUAAAAUGUCCGGGCUCAACCCGGGCCGGCCGUUGAAACUGGGGAUCUUGAGUGGGCGAGAAGUAUGCGGCUUGCGUGGUGUAGCGGU